ACAUACGGCCACAGAUCGAAGAGAAUAGAGGAUCCCGUCCUGAACUUAAGCUUCGAAUUGGCGGGUUAGUAGUCAGGUGGGUGACCACUGGCGAAUCCCCGCUGCUGUAUGUU
rnacentral:rRNA from 1 species